AGUGAACGCUGGCGGUAGGCCUAACACAUGCAAGUCGAACGGCAGCACAGUAAGAGCUUGCUCUUACGGGUGGCGAGUGGCGGACGGGUGAGGAAUACAUCGGAAUCUACUUUUUCGUGGGGGAUAACGUAGGGAAACUUACGCUAAUACCGCAUACGACCUACGGGUUAAAGCAGGGGAUCUUCGGACCUUUCGCGAUUGAAUGAGCCGAUGUCGGAUUAGCUAGUUGGCGGGGUAAAGGCCCACCAAGGCGACGAUCCGUAGCUGGUCUGAGAGGAUGAUCGGCCACACUGGAACUGAGAAACGGUCCAGACUCCUACGGGAGGCAGCAGUGGGGAAUAUUGGACAAUGGGCGCAAGCCUGAUCCAGCCAUACCGCGUGGGUGAAGAAGGCCUUCGGGUUGUAAAGCCCUUUUGUUGGGAAAGAAAAGCAGCAGGUUAAUACCCCGCUGUUCUGACGGUACCCAAAGAAUAAGCACCGGCUAACUUCGUG
rnacentral:rRNA from 1 species